GUCAGGAUGAACGCUGGCGGCGUGCUUAACACAUGCAAGUCGAACGGAGUUUUAACGGAAGUUUCGGAUGGAAGUUAGAACUAGUGGCGGACGGGUGAGUAACGCGUGGGUAACCUGCCUCAUACAGGGGGAUAACAGUUAGAAAUGACUGCUAACACCGCAUAAUAUAGCGAAACCGCAUGAUUUUGCUAUCAAAUAUUUAUAGGUAUGAGAUGGGCCCGCGUCUGAUUAGCUAGUUGGUGGGGUAAAAGCCUACCAAGGCGACGAUCAGUAGCCGGCUUGAGAGAGUGACCGGCCACAUUGGGACUGAGACACGGCCCAAACUCCUACGGGAGGCAGCAGUGGGGAAUAUUGGACAAUGGGGGGAAACCCUGAUCCAGCGACGCCGCGUGAGUGAAGAAGUAUUUCGGUAUGUAAAGCUCUAUCAGCAGGGAAGAUAAUGACAGUACCUGACUAAGAAGCCCCGGCUAACUACGUGCCAGCCGCCGC
rnacentral:rRNA from 1 species